rnacentral:rRNA from 1 species
AGAGUUUGAUCAUGGCUCAGAGUGAACGCUGGCGGCGUGGCUAAGGCAUGCAAGUCGAACGGACUUAGGUGAGGGUAACUGAUCCUAAGUUAGUGGCGAACGGGAGAGUAAUACAUAGGUAACGUACCUUUGGCUUGGGAAUAGCGGCGGGUGGCAACACCCUUUGCGAAAGUGCCGGUAAUACCCAAUGAAGUCAGAAGAUCGCCUGGUUUUCUGACCAAAGUUUUUCGGCCUUUGAUCGGCCUAUGUCCUAUCAGGUAGUUGGUGAGGUAACGGCUCACCAAGCCUGCGACGGGUAGCGGGGCUGAGAGGUUGACCCGCCUCAUCGGGACUGAGACACUGCCCGGACACCUACGGGUGGCUGCAGCAACGAAUAUUGGACAAUGGACGCAAGUCUGAUCCAGCGACGCCGCGUGCGGGAUGAAGCCCUUCGGGGUGUAAACCGCUGUUAGGGGUAACCAAUUAAUUGAGGUAUCCCAGAGGAAGCCACGGCUAACUCCGUGCCAGCAGCCGCGGUAAGACGGAGGUGGCGAGCGUUACUCGGAUUCACUGGGCUUAGAGCGGGUGCAGGCGGCCAUAUAAGUCUGGAGUGAAAGCCCUCGGCUCAACCGAGGAAUUGCUUUGGAUACUGUAUGGCUUGAGGCAAGCAGGGGUCAGUGGAACGUUUGGUGUAGCGGUGAAAUGCGUAGAUAUCAAACGGAACGCCGGUGGUGAAGACGGCUGACUGGGCUUGUCCUGACGCUCAGACCCGAAAGCGUGGGAAGUGAACCGGAUUAGAUACCCGGGUAAUCCACGCCCUAAACGAUGCGCACUAGAUUCAGGAGCCUCUGACGGUUUCUGGGUCGAUGUGAAAACGUUAAGUGCGCCGCCUGGGGAGUACGGCCGCAAGGUUAAAACUCAAAUGAAUUGACGG